rnacentral:lncRNA from 1 species
CGGCCUUCGCGAGCGUCUGGGCGGGUGGUAGGUGAGUGGGUAUUGCGGGCUAGUAUCCGAGCAAAAGAUGGUGGCGCAGGCCGAGUUAAGAGCUUUAAUCCUGUGAAGACAUCUUAGUGAAGAGUUUAGAGUGCUGAGAGUUGAAAGCUUGCACGUGGGAAACGUGCGGCCGGACUGCCACAUGUACUGAGGUUGAGUCGUGACGGCCACAGGCUCCGAGUUUUGGCGUGAGGAACCGCUGAUCGGCCACGGGCGCCGAACUUGCUGGCCUCCGGCAUGUGCCUGAGCGGCGGCGGAAAAACCACCUUAAUUGGGGCGGAGGGUUAGUUUUAACAGCAAAGGGCCUUUACUAAAAUGGCGAAGGCCUUCCGUCGGCGUUGUUUUAAAAUGGGAAGCCUCGACCCUGUAUUGAAACUGAGCUGUUCGAAGGCGGCGUUGUGUGCAAUUCGGAUUAAUGAAGGGGAAGGGUUUUGUGUGGAAAAACGCCUUGGAGUGUGACAUUUCUGCGAGAAUGCUUAAAUACCGAUUUCCCGCAGGAACAAUGGCGCUGUCUUCAGUGGCACAGUGGAGCAGCUCUGAAGAUGCAAAGAUACACGAAAAAACUUCCAGAACAUCUGGGAGAAUAUUUAAUGGAAAAUCGCUUGGUUAAAACCUGACACUUUUAACAGUGAACAGCGUUCUGAGUGUGGACGAGUAGCCAGUGAAGAUAAUGAAUGUCGAAUGUGACUGACUAGCAGCUUCAUUUUGAAUGAGGGUCGCUGUCUGCCCAUUGAUAGAGGCCAGAUUGUCUUGGAAGUUCCAAAGUUGCAACGAUUUCUGGCUAGUGCCACGAGGUUUACUUGACUGUUGUGUGAAAAGCUGAUAAGAAAACCAUCCAGAAAAAAGCUCUUCGUUUUACAAACAUGAAAAUAAAACAUGGUAUUCCAGUCAGAGCAUAUGCUUUAGAGAUACUUUACAUGCAUUAAAUGAAAUAAUGCAGGCCAGAUGAGGUGGCUCAUGCCUAUAAUUCCAGCACUCUGGGAGGCCGAGGUGGGCAGAUCACCAAAUGUCAGGAGUUCAAGUCCAGCCUGGCCAACAUGGUGAAACCCCAUCUCUACUAAAAAUCUAAAAAUACAAAAAAUAGCCAGGCGUGGUGGCAGGUGCCAGUAAUCCCAGCUACUCGGGAGGCUGAGGCAGGAGAAACACUUGAACCCAGGAGGUGGAGGUUGCAGUGAGCCUAGAUCGCGCCAUUGCACUUCAAUCUGGGUGACAGAUGGAGACUACAUAUAUAAAAAAAAAAAAAAGGAAGAACAAGAAAAGAAAUGAUGCAUAUAAAAUGUUUAAUAUAGCGCUUGUCAUUAUGCAUUAGCUAUAACUGUUAAUAAAAUUGGGUGUUUCUAUGCAUAUCAGUAAACACAACAUUGUGAGCCACUACGUUCGAAUAAGUUAAGUCUAUCAGAUACCUUCAGUUAAAAAAAUAUGUGACCUGCAAAGUCAGGAGUUUGAGACCAGCCUGACCAACAUGGUGAAACCCCAUCUCUACUAAAAAUACAAAAAUUAGCCAGGCUUUGUGGCAGGCUUCUAUAAUCCCAGCUACUCAGGAGGCUGAGGAAGGAGAAUCGCUCGAACCCAGGAGGCGGAGGUUGCAGUGAGUGAAGAUUGCACCACUGCACUCCAGCCUGGGCCACAGAGUGAAGACUCCAUCUCAAAAAAAACAAAAUACAAACAAACAAAAACAACAAAAAAACCAGCACGGCAGGGAGUGGUGGCUCACACUUAUAAUUCCAGCACUUUGGGAGGCCAAGACACACAGAUGACUUGAGCCCAGGAGCCUCCCAAGUAGCUGCAACUAGCAGGUGCAUGCCACCACACACAACUGGCUUUUUUUUUUUUUUCCUUUUUUUGUGGAGACAGGGUCUCUCUCUAUUACCCAGAUUGGUCUCAAAUUCCUGGACUCAAGUGAUCCUCUCACCUCAGCCUCCCAAAGUGCUGGAGUGCUCCCACUGCACUUGACAAGGUGAAGAACUUACAGCUGGAGAGUUUAAUGCCAGCAAAGGAUGGUUUGAGAUAUAUGUGUAUAUAUAUGUGUCUAUAUAUAUACGUACAAGCCUGUACAGUAUGUUAUUGUACUGAAUACUAUGACAAGUGUAAAACAAUAGUAACUAUAUAUGUAUCUAAACAUAAAAAAGAUACAGUAAAAAUAGUGCAUUGUAAUCUUAUGGAACCGCUAUCAUGUAUGAAGUCCAUCUUUGGCCAGAAAAGGUAAUUAUACUGUGCAUGAUUGUAAUUUAAGUAAUUUUCAUCUCUAGAUUACUUAUAAUACCUAAUACAAUGUGGCCAGGCACGGUGGCUCACGCCUGUAAUCCCACUACUUUGGGAGGCCAAGGCAGACAAAUUGCUUGAGUCCGGAAGUUCGAGACUAGCUUGGGCGACAUGGUGAAACCCCAUCUCUACAAAUAUAAAAAUAAGGCCGGUGCAGUGGCUCAUGCCUGUAAUCCCAGCACUUUGGGAGGCCAACGAUGUCAGGAGUGUGAGACCAGCCUCGCUGACGUGGUAAAACCCUGUCUCUACUAAAAAUACAACGAAUAGCUGGGCAUGGUGGCGGGCACCUGUAAUCCCAGCUACUCGGGAGGCUGAGGCAGGAGAAUUGUUUGAACCCAGGAGUCAGAGGUUGCAGUGAGCUGAGACUGCACCAUUGCACUAUAGCCUGGGUGACAGGGCGAGACUCUGUCUCAAAUAAAAUAAAAAUAAAAAAUUAGCCAGGCAUGGUGGCAUGCACCUGUAAUCCCAGCUACUCAGGAGGCUGAUGUGGGAGAAUCGCUUGAGCCCUGGAGGCAGAGGUUGCAGUGAUCCAAGAUCACACCACUCCACUGCAGCUGCUGGGUGAUAGAGCAAGACCUGGUCUCUGGUCUCAAAAAAAAAAAAAAAAAAAAAAAAAAAAAAAAAAAACUAAUACAUACAAUGUAAAUGCUAUGUUGUAAAUAGUUGCUGUAUUUUUAUUUGUCAUUUCUUAUUGUUGUACUGUUAUUUUUAAUUGUUCUUUUCCUAAUAUUUUUGUUUUGCAGUUAGUUGAAUCCAUGGACAUGAAACCCACAGAUAUAGAGGGUUGGCCCGGUGCAGUGGCUCACGCCUGUAAUCCCAGCACUUUGGGAGGCCAAGGCGGGUGGAUCACCUGAGGUCAGAAGCUUGAGACCAGCCUGGCCAACAUGGUAAAACCCCAUCUCUACUAAUAAUACAAAACAAUUUGCUGGGCAUGGUGGUGCACGCUUGUAAUCCAAGCUACUCCAGAGGCUGAGGCAGAAGAAUCGCUUGAAUCCGAGAGGCAAAGGUUGCAGUGAGCCCAGAUCACACCACUGCUCUCCAACCUGGGCAACAAGAGCAAAACUCCGUCAAAAAAAAAAGAUACAGGGUCAACUGUACACAUUAAACACUUCUAUCAACUAGUGAUGUCAGUCUUGUCCAUUGUAUUAUUGCCUAUCUUACUAAACAGUCAUAUUUCAGGAAGUACAAUAUACUCAAAAACUAAGUUAAUGUUCUUUGUAGAUUUAUGGUUAAUGGAUGAUUCAUAUAAUAGAAACUUAAAUUUAUUUGACCAUUCUAUUUAAUAUAGAAUAAAUACAACUAGCCAGGCAUGGUGGCUCAUGUCUAUAAUGCCAGCACUUGGGGAGGCCAAGGUGGGAGGCUCACUUGAGCAUAGGAAUUCAAGGCCAGCCUGGGCAACACAAUGUGAGACCCGUCUCUAUGAAAAUUUUAAAAAUUAGCCAAGCAUGGUAACACAAGUCUGUGGUCCCAGCUACUUGGGAGGCUGAGGCGCGAGAAGUCCAGGAGGUCAACGCUGCAGUGAGCUGUGUGUGUGCCACUGCAUCCUAGCCUGGGCAACAGAGCAAGACCCUGUCUCAAAAAUAAAGAAUAAAUACAACCUAUUAAGCUUGAGAGAUCCAGUGAAAUCCAAAUAAGAGAAACUGUGUCCUACACAGUUUUCUGUUAACCAUUUUCUUGGUAUUUAAAUUAUUUAUCAAAUUUUAACUUCAAUAAAAAAUUAUUCUGGAGAACACAUACCUCUAGAGUAAGUAAAGUAUACACUUUCAAUUUUUAGACAUGAGGUUUUGAGGUGUUUGACUGUAUCUAAUUUCCUAAAGGCUCUAUUUUUUAACCUACAAAAAUUAUAAAAAGAUAUAUAAAAGAUAUGAAAUGUAAAAAUAAGGAAGAUAUGAAGAUUAAAAUAACCUAUAAUCCCACCACUCAGAGGUAACUGUUAUACAAUUUUUGAUGUAUUAUUCUAUGCAGAUAUAAAUUUUAAUAAAAUUUGAAUUAUAUACAGUUUGUCAUCCUGAUUCCUUUCAUUUAAUAUUCUUUUUUAAAAAAUAUUUAUUUAUUUUAGACACAGGAUCUUGCUAUGUAACCCAGGCUGGCCUCGAACUCCAGUGU